rnacentral:rRNA from 1 species
AGUCGAACGAUGAUGCCCAGCUUGCUGGGCGGAUUAGUGGCGAACGGGUGAGUAAUACGUGAGUAACCUGCCCUUGACUCUGGGAUAAGCCUGGGAAACUGGGUCUAAUACUGGAUACUACCUCUUACCGCAUGGUGGGUGGUGGAAAGGGUUUUACUGGUUUUGGAUGGGCUCACGGCCUAUCAGCUUGUUGGUGGGGUAAUGGCUCACCAAGGCGACGACGGGUAGCCGGCCUGAGAGGGUGACCGGCCACACUGGGACUGAGACACGGCCCAGACUCCUACGGGAGGCAGCAGUGGGGAAUAUUGCACAAUGGGCGGAAGCCUGAUGCAGCGACGCCGCGUGAGGGAUGACGGCCUUCGGGUUGUAAACCUCUUUCAGUAGGGAAGAAGCGAGAGUGACGGUACCUGCAGAAGAAGCGCCGGCUAACUACGUGCCAGCAGCCGCGGUAAUACGUAGGGCGCAAGCGUUGUCCGGAAUUAUUGGGCGUAAAGAGCUCGUAGGCGGUUUGUCGCGUCUGCUGUGAAAGCCCGGGGCUCAACCCCGGGUCUGCAGUGGGUACGGGCAGACUAGAGUGCAGUAGGGGAGACUGGAAUUCCUGGUGUAGCGGUGAAAUGCGCAGAUAUCAGGAGGAACACCGAUGGCGAAGGCAGGUCUCUGGGCUGUUACUGACGCUGAGGAGCGAAAGCAUGGGGAGCGAACAGGAUUAGAUACCCUGGUAGUCCAUGCCGUAAACGUUGGGCACUAGGUGUGGGGGACAUUCCACGUUUUCCGCGCCGUAGCUAACGCAUUAAGUGCCCCGCCUGGGGAGUACGGCCGCAAGGCUAAAACUCAAAGGAAUUGACGGGGGCCCGCACAAGCGGCGGAGCAUGCGGAUUAAUUCGAUGCAACGCGAAGAACCUUACCAAGGCUUGACAUUCACCGGACCGCCCCAGAGAUGGGGUUUCCCUUCGGGGCUGGUGGACAGGUGGUGCAUGGUUGUCGUCAGCUCGUGUCGUGAGAUGUUGGGUUAAGUCCCGCAACGAGCGCAACCCUCGUUCUAUGUUGCCAGCACGUGAUGGUGGGGACUCAUAGGAGACUGCCGGGGUCAACUCGGAGGAAGGUGGGGAUGACGUCAAAUCAUCAUGCCCCUUAUGUCUUGGGCUUCACGCAUGCUACAAUGGCCGGUACAAAGGGUUGCGAUACUGUGAGGUGGAGCUAAUCCCAAAAAGCCGGUCUCAGUUCGGAUUGAGGUCUGCAACUCGACCUCAUGAAGUCGGAGUCGCUAGUAAUCGCAGAUCAGCAACGCUGCGGUGAAUACGUUCCCGGGCCUUGUACACACCGCCCGUCAAGUCACGAAAGUUGGUAACACCCGAAGCCGGUGGCCUAACCCCUUGUGGGAGGGAGCCGUCGAAGGUGG